ACAUCUAAGUACCUAAAGGAAGAGAAAGAAAUUCGAUUCCGUAAGUAGCGGCGAGCGAACGCGGAUUAGCCCAAACCAAUAAAGUUUUCUUUAUUGGGGUUGCGGACAUAUCAUAACGAAGAGGUAUCGUAAUUGAAGAGGUUUGGAAAGACCCACCACAGAAGGUAAUAGUCCUGUAUGUUAAACGAGAAGACUUCAGAUAUGAUCCAGAGUACCACGGGACACGUGAA
rnacentral:rRNA from 1 species